rnacentral:lncRNA from 1 species
GGAAACAGAAAUACUAAUGGAAAAACCACGUAGCCCUGCUAUUCUGAUGGUUACACUACGUCCUCAAGCAUUGUCAAAGAUCACCAUGUUUGUUUUAUUUUGAAUUUAGUGGGUUUUUUUGGAAUACAUAUUUCUUUGGUUGGACAUAGAGUCAGCUCCACCAACUGUCCAAGGCCCGCGCUGGUCUCGGUGCUGCUUCUCACUGUAAUUCUGUGCUUGGGGAAACGAGUUCAUGGCUCUCGGGAGGUUUUAUGUGGUUGUUCCUCCCAAUGCAAAGGUCUCAGGCCCCUUUAAGGCCCUGAUAAAAGCUGAAGACCUUCCCCGAGGAAAAACGUGUCGUGCUAACACAAUUUUGUAUAAUUUCAGGAUGUUCAUUUACCCUCCCCAAAGCCAUGGACUGGGAUGAAAACUGCUCCCAACUCCUUCCAGCCCUGACACGGGACGAUGACGCUGAAGUUUAUCUAGGAAGAGGCACAAAUCGGACAGCCGACCCUAAUAAAUCAUGGAGUAGGAACAGGAUGAGCUUCCUGAGGACAAGGACCAGCUUCCUUCGCGGGGUCUGGCAUAUAAUGGUUUCUUUAUAAAUGUUUCUAGGAUGCUGUGGCUGAGUAUCUGUGUAUAUGUGUAUCUAUGUGGGUGUCUAUAUGCAUUUAUUAUAUAGACAAGCUACAGAAAGAAAGUGGCUGAUAUGAUACAGGGUACGUGUAGCCGACAGACACCCUAGCGAAGCAGCAAGUUUAUGAAAACUUCUUUCCUAAGAGUAAAGGCUAAUCACAAGGGCACUUGAGAGCAGCCUGAAGUGCAGGGAGCGGUGUGAUAUGGGGGCAACUCAGAGCAGACACAGAGCAUGCUCUUGGCUGGGCAGAGAC